GAAAUGCGAUAAGUAAUGUGAAUUGCAGAAUUCAGUGAAUCAUCGAAUCUUUGAACGCACAUUGCGCCCGCCAGUAUUCUGGCGGGCAUGCCUGUCCGAGCGUCAUUUCAACCAUCAAGCCCCCGGCUUGUGUUGGGGACCUGCGGCUGCCCGCAGGCCCUGAAAACCAGUGGCGGGCUCGCUGUCACACCGAGCGUAGUAGCAAUCACCUCGCUCAGGGCGUGCUGCGGGUUCCGGCCGUUAAACAGCCUUACAAAACCCAAGGUUGACCUCGGAUCAGGUAGGAAGACCCGCUGAACUUAAGC
rnacentral:misc_RNA from 1 species